rnacentral:rRNA from 1 species
GUCUACUGCCAUGCUACCCUGAACAAGCCCAAUUCUGUCUGAUCUUGGAAGCUAAGCAGAGUCGGGCCUGGUUAGUACUUGGAUGGGAGAUCACCUAGGAAGUUGUUGUAGGUGUAAAAA